AAGAUCAACAUCAGGUCACCAGCCCAGAGCCAAGGCGAGAGAUAAAUUCUGCCUUUAAAUCUAUAAAUCAAGACUAUUUAAGUGAACAUUCAAUUGACAAUUUCUGGAUGUUGGAUUAAAUAGAUCAUUAUACAGUGAUUUAUAACGAUAUUUCUACCGUAAUAUCGUCCAUGUAUAAGUAUCAAGCACAAGAAUGACAAUGUGACAGUUCACUAUGAAAAUUAGUGAAUAUUUUGGCGCAGCUUUACUAUUUAUUACUGUGGCCACGCAAUGUGAGAGUCUAAGUAAUAUUCAUAUAACUGGAACAGCUAUACGAUAUAGUCCAAGUUCUAAUGACUAUGUAGCUUUGGAAGAUGGAUUUUUAGUUGUGCAUUGCGAAGAAAAAUCAAACAGCAUCACUGAUGUUUUUGUCAAAGUCAAGUUGCAAUCUAAUUUUUUAUGUUAUGUGAAUGAAAAAUACCCAUUGUCCAAAAGUGUUUAUGAUGAAUGUAAUAAUAUUAUGAAAAUACGUGUUGAAGAACAUCCGGAAAGUGGUGGAUAUAGAAAUCUCAGCUUUGCCUUUCGUACCCCUUGGCUGAAUUAUCAGCCUCGGAAAGAUUGUAGACAUUGCAGGGUAUGUUACUGUGCGAAACCUUCCUCAAAUGAUUCUAGAGGGGUAACUCUAUCUCCUCUUAGUUGGCCAAAACCCGCAAUUAUAAAAAAAUGCUAUUUAUACGAUUAUUCUGAUAUUAAUUGUGAAUGGGUUUUUGCUCACAAGCAGGCCAAGGGGACACUAUUGCCGAAAUUCAACACUGUUUUGUCUUUUAAAGACAAAUACUCUGGAGUAUAUGAGCUAUGUACGACAAAUAUCGCGCUAAACAAUUGCACAACUGACAUAGGAAACUUCGCUCAAAGUUUUGCUCAAAAAGACUAUCGAUUAAUGAUACGUGCUGAAUUGCAUAUAAAGUUUGAAAUGAAUUUCCCUAAAAAUUUUGACCUGAGCUCUCUAAACAAAAAUAAUGUCAAUCUUUCCAUGGAUAAAGAAAAUUCUGCAGUAACAUUCGCCUAUCCUUUUGAAGACAAAUACGUUUACAAAUUAGGAACAAACAAAUUAAUUCCUGGAAAACCCAUUGUUUAUGAAUGUGACAACUUGAAGGAUCCAAUUGUCAAUAGCACAUCAAUGAUAGUACCUGUUCAACCAUCAAAAAAUUUUUUGAAAGUGAAGCACCAUUAUGAUGUUGAACUGAAUCUCUACUGCAAAUUAUCAACCAACGAAGUGGCUGAAUCUGAUAAGAAAACUGUAUACGUCAUCACUGGAAAUGAAGAUUCAUGUGGAUUCUGCAAAUUUGAAAAUUUAGCCCCUGCAACAAAUUAUAGCUUAUUCAUGUCGUUAAUUAGGGUUGAUAACGAAAAGGAAUAUGGUAAAUCUAGUGAAAACACUGUUUAUACUUUUAUAACGAACACAACAGAACCCGAAGCUUUACCAGAGACUUUUUAUUAUAUUCAAAAUGGUAUUAAACCUUCCGUAUCUGUCAUCUGGAAUUCCUUAAGCAGGAGACUAGCUGGUGGAAAAACUGUAGCAUACAAAAUUACAGAGAAACACUUAACGACAAUUCUUAAUGCUGAUAUCUCAUGUUCGUUUGAGGACCUAUAUUCUAUAUGUAAAUUUAUAAGAAAGGGGCUCGACAGCAGUAUUAGAGUUGAAAGUACAUGGAAGAGUGAUCUUAGUUUUAACUUUUCCUUAUUGAGAGAUGUACCAGAUCAAAUUAAUUUACCUGCAAAUUGGGCAGAAAGGCAGCCGGAAAAUAUUUUGCUAACAGCCUACGUUGAUCGUUCAAUGAAUAAUAAUAAAGUUAUAAUUGUAUGGUCACAUUGGGUGAUGAAUGCUACAGAAUACAUUUUAAUUUUGUGCCGAAAUCAGGACAGUUUUCUUAAAGGUUGCACAAAUAACAUGGAAAGUUUUAAGAUUCCUCGAAAUGAAUCUUUAUUUGAAUAUUCAAUAAAAAUGGAUUUAACGGAAACUGUUAUGAAUAAUUUUAGUGUUGGUGUUUCGGUAAAGUUUAAAGAUGAUUUUAUGUCUGGUUUGCUUUUCUCUCCUUGUGUGUUUAAGCAGAAAAAUUUACAUUUUAAUGGUAUGAAAGGAGAUAAUGCUAUUGAAAAUAUAAAGACUAAAAUUAGAGGGAAGAUUUUGCAUUCUAUAGUAAACUUGAAGAAAAAUCCAUGCGAACUUGAUAUAUUCUUUACUUAUGUUGUAAUUUAUUUUUGUGUUUCCAAGAACGAUGUUUGCAUAGAAGAAUGCCAAAGGAAAAAAUUUUGGAUUAAGAAUAAGAGCACUAUGACAUUUGAUUUAGGCAUUUCCUCCUCCAAGGAAGUUUUAUUAUGGGGUAAAGUUGGAUCUCACCUAGGUGAAUCAACCAAUUCAAGUAAUUACCAGAAAACAGCGAACUUUUCAGGUAAACUUUCCAACUGAUAUAUAUUAUAUACAAUGUAUGUUAAACAUAAAAAAGGAGCUAGAACAAUUAAUUACAAAUACUCUGCCUCAGAAACAAAAAUAGACAAACAUAAUGGUAGUUUUCUACAAGAAUUUGCGCAAUUUUUUGUAAGAAAGUAGUGCCAUCUGUAAGUCGAAUAUAUGAAUUUAAUGUAUGAUUUUCUUUGAAGGAAAUUGUAUAGUCUAGUAGCUGCUGAUAGGAUACUAUACAACUUACGUAAGAGAAUUCUGUAUUUUUUUAAUACCUUAUAUAAAUUUUAGUAUGUAAAAAUUAUUCCCAAUAGAUUAACGAUUCAUUUGCAAUAAAGAGAAUAUUUUAUAUAGUUUUCAGAAUAUAGCAGUUUUGUUUUGUUUCUAUUCUGUUAUAUAGUUUAUUAUAAUGUAAAAUGUUGAAUGGCAAUUUUUUAUUACUACAACUAUUAUUUGUAUUGUUAUAAUAAUUAUAUUGUUCUUUCCUCAGCCGAAAACUCAUCAAAGGCAAAUCUAAUUGUUCUCGGUAUAGUGGGCUCAUUGAUACUGGUAAUUAUUUUCAUAGUCUUAGCAUGGAAGUUAAGAGCCGCCUUUUGGAAAUUUGUACAUUUCCCGAUAGAAACGGAUUUUCCAGUUAUUUUGAAUGAGGUAUCUUCGAGCCAUCCGAAUGGUGAUGAAGCGGCGAACGCUGAGCAACCUAACCAAGGAGCUACUCCGCUAUUACGGAAUGAUGAAUCUGUAACUGAUGGAGACAAGAAUUCGCAGGGUAGUGGUUCGGAGACUCCGAUUUAUGUUGAGAUAAAACAUAACAAAGGAUCGAAUGGUUAUUUAACAAAUGAACCUGAGAAAUUUGAAGAUGUUAGAGAAACAGCCAACGGCUACUUGCCAAGAGACAAUGUACACCUUUUAGGUCCUUGUAAUCCAAAUAGGACUAAUGAGGUAACUUUAGUGAAAGGAGCCACUGCUUCUCCUAUUUCUACUGAUACAAUGCAGCUCAAUGUAGAGAAUGGUUCUACGAACGGUCAAUCUAGUCAAUUGGGUGGGAGUUCGGGAUCCUACGUUGACCCAUCCGUGUUAUUUUCAAAAGGAAAAUAAUAAGUAAUAAUUUGUUUACGUUAUAUAGAGUAUUAUUUUGUUAAUAACAAAAAUUCGUUACUGGUAUUGUUCAUAGAAAUCUUUGUGUUUUAACUUAAGAGAAAUGUUUUCCAACUGCUAAAUAAAACAGUUUUCAGUUAUUACUACUUUAAGAUGUCUUCUCGCUUUGUUUUCUUUCUUUGAUAAAUACAUAAAGGAACGUUUUGGUGUUUUUAUAUUUGUUUUCUUAAGUAUAUCAUCUAUAUUUUCCUUUCUGUUUUCUUCACUUCGCUCUCCAUUUCCCUUUCUUUAGUAUUAAUUGUUAUGUUUAUUAUGCUAAAUUGAAAAUUGAUAUUAUGUUCUUACUAGUCUAAAGGAUUAAUGAAAAUUUAACUUCAAUUUUUUAACCAGUUUUUAACGAUAUUGAAUUUGUAUGAUACAAGUGGGGAAUUGGGGAGAAUAACAGUAAUAGUUUAUAUAUAUAUAUAUAUAUCAAUUUAUAUUGAUAAUCUUAUAGCAGAACAAAUUGUAUAAAAUGAACGUACUGUAUAUAUGUGAAUAGUUAUUUAUUUGUUUAUUUAAUUACUUAUAAGUGAUGUAAAAUACAAAGAAUGAUUUAUACAUAUGUAUAUACAUAAUUAUAUACAUUCAUACAACAACAUAUCUUUUUGUUUGUUUGUUUAUUUGUUUAUUUACCAUAUUUUAGUUACAAUUGAAUAUUUGAACAUAAUUUUUAAAAUAUUACUUUGUGGAUAGUUGAAAUAUAUGCCCACAGUGUUUUUAGUGUCUUUUAUUUUUUUAUUUUGAAAUCUAUCGCAAGAUCUUGAUUUUAACCUUCAAGGUGAAUUCUCUUACUUAUAUUUGACUUACUUUUAGACCUUCCGGAUGUAAUAUAUAGGCAAAAUAUUUCUUGUUCAGUAAUAUAUAGGCUAGUAUACUGUACGGGAUUUUUGUGGUAACGAUCAAUAACAGAAAGUUUACAGGCUUUCAGCAGUAAAAUCGAUAAAUUUGUACUGAGCAGAACAGGUUAGUUGAACAGGUAAAAGUACACUACAUUGAUAACAAAAGCUACGUCUGUAGAAAUAAAGAUAUCAGGUCAUUCGGUACAGUUAUUGUUUACAACAGAAAAUACCACGUUUUAUUGUUACCUAUUUAUACAGGAUAUUGUGGAGGGACUCUACCGAAACGUAAUCAACCUUCAAACGCUUUCCUAUUGUUCUAAACUCUUACUUUUAUUGUUCAAACAUAUUUUCUAAUAAAAAGAGAUCCUACAAAAAAAUAGUAAUAAGUUGAUUUCAAUGAUACACUCAGCUUUCACUUUUUUAGUUAAUUAAACAAAUUGAUCUACACAAAUACUUAAGAACUAAAGAGAGAGAGAGAAAAAGAAAAAAUAGCCAUUCUUCAGCUACUACACCUUAAACACAAGUUUUUUAAUAUUUCUUUGCAGGCGGAUACAAUAUUCAAAUACGUCGAUUAAUACCUUAUAAAAAUGCCUUUUUUUAAGUCUCCGAUUCAAUUCGGGGGAAAAA
rnacentral:misc_RNA from 1 species